rnacentral:ncRNA from 2 species
UGCCAUGCUGGGCGCGAUGGUGGUCGUUCGGCUUGUCCGAUGACCUUAAAAGGGAACGCGGUGCGGGGCUUGCCCCAAAUCCGCGACUGCCCCCGCAACUGUGAGCGGCGAGCCAUCCUGCAACAUGCCACUGGGUCCCGUCCCGGGAAGGCGCAGGAGAGCCGAGACCCGCGAGUCAGGAGACCUGCCAUCCUUGUCAUGUCAAC